AGUGGGGCUAUAUAGAAUAGAUAAAUAAACUUUGUGAUAAGUUAUUGAUUGGUUAUUGAUAAUCUUGAGAAUUAGACUGAUGAUUAGGUAGUUUAAUUGGUAACAUUAGGUUGUUAGUAGAAUACAUGGUUAAGAAUUCAAACGGUCAUAACCUUUGGAAUCUACUAGUUGAUGAUCCAUCUUUUGGUAGGAUAAAGAGGUUGACAAAAGAGAGAU
rnacentral:lncRNA from 1 species